AGUUUUUAUAGUUUAAACCAAAACAUUGGUCUUGUAAACCAAAAUUAAGAAUUUUUCUUUAAAAACUUC
rnacentral:tRNA from 1 species